rnacentral:rRNA from 1 species
AGCGAACGCUGGCGGCGUGCCUAACACAUGCAAGUCGAACGUGAAAGGGAGCAAUCCCAAGUAAAGUGGCGUACGGGUGAGUAACACGUAGGUAAUCUACCCCAGAAUCUGGAAUAACCGGCCGAAAGGCUGGCUAAUACUGGAUAGAGCGACGGAAUCCGUAAUUGGGUUUUUCGGGAAAGGGAGCCUGUAAAAAGGCCUUCGUUCUGGGAUGAGCCUGCGUCCCAUCAGCUAGUUGGUGAGGUAAAAGCUUACCAAGGCAAUGACGGGUAGCUGGUCUGAGAGGACGAUCAGCCACACUGGAACUGAAACACGGUCCAGACCCCUACGGGAGGCAGCAGUGGGGAAUCUUGCGCAAUGGACGAAAGUCUGACGCAGCAACGCCGCGUGAGUGAAGAAGGCCUUCGGGUUGUAAAGCUCUGUCGAGUGGGACGAAAAUGCUUGGAGUUCACAGCUCCAGGAACUGACGGUACCACUAAAGGAAGCACCGGCUAACUCCGUG